rnacentral:rRNA from 1 species
CUCGUAGGCGGUUCGUCGCGUCCGGUGUGAAAGUCCAUCGCUUAACGGUGGAUCUGCGCCGGGUACGGGCGGGCUGGAGUGCGGUAGGGGAGACUGGAAUUCCCGGUGUAACGGUGGAAUGUGUAGAUAUCGGGAAGAACACCAAUGGCGAAGGCGGCUUACUGGACUGCAACUGACGUUGAGGCUCGAAAGUGUGGGUAGCAAACA